UACGAAGGGGCUAGCGUUGUUCGGAAUUACUGGGCGUAAAGCGCACGUAGGCGGAUAUUUAAGUCAGGGGUGAAAUCCCGGGGCUCAACCCCGGAACUGCCUUUGAUACUGGGUAUCUAGAGUCCAGAAGAGGUGAGUGGAAUUCCGAGUGUAGAGGUGAAAUUCGUAGAUAUUCGGAGGAACACCAGUGGCGAAGGACGGCUGCAUCAUGGUG
rnacentral:rRNA from 1 species